rnacentral:rRNA from 1 species
AUUGAACGCUGGCGGCAGGCCUAACACAUGCAAGUCGAACGAGCGGCGGACGGGUGAGUAAUGUCUGGGAAACUGCCUGAUGGCGGGGGAUAACUACUGGAAACGGUAGCUAAUACCGCAUACCAUCGGAUGUACCCAUAUGGGAUUAGCUAGUAGGUGAGGUAAUGGCGCACCUAGGCGACGAUCCCUAGCUGGUCUGAGAGGAUGAAUGGCACGACGGGAACUGAGAGACGGCCCAGACGCCUACGGGAGGAAGCAGGGGGGAAUAUUGCACAAUGGGCGCAAGCCUGAUGCAGCCAUGCCGCGUGUAUGAAGAAGGCCUUAGGGUUGUAAAGUACUUUAAGCGGGGAGGCGUUACCGGCAGAAGAAGCACCGGCUAACUCCGUGCCAGCAGCCGCGGUAAUAC